CCUACGGGAGGCAGCAGCGAGGAAUUUUGCACAAUCGACGCAAGUCGGAUGCAGCAACGCCGCGUGGGGGAAGAAGGCUUUCGAGUUGUAAACCCCUUUUGUGAGGGAAGAAGAUCUGACGGUACCUCACGAAUAAGUCACGGCUAACUACGUGCCAGCAGCCGCGGUAAUACGUAGGUGGCGAACGUUGUCCGGAUUUACUGGGCGUAAAGCGCGCGCAGGCGGACUGAUAAGUCAGAGGUGAAAUCUCCCGGCUCAACUGGGAGGGGCCCUUUGAUACUGUCAGUCUUGAGAUGCCUAGAGGAGAGUGGAAUUCCCGGUGUAGUGGUGGAAUGCGUAGAUAUCGGGAGGAACACCAGUGGCGAAAGCGACUCUCUGGGGGCGAUCUGACGCUGAGGCGCGAAAGCGUGGGGAGCAAACCGGAUUAGAUACCCGGGGUAGUCCACGCCGUAAACGAUGAGUACUAGCUGUAGUGGGUACUCGACUCCUGUGUAGCGAGACUACGACGAUAAGUACUCCGCCGUCGGGUACGUACCGACCGACGAACGUUAAACGUAACGAAGUAGAGUAAGUACGNGUUGAGACGUUAGCGACGACGACGACGAGGGAG
rnacentral:rRNA from 1 species